CAAAGAAGGGUCUAGCUGUUGGAAUAAUGGUAUCCAUUGCUAUUUGAGCCUUUGUUGUUAGUGAAAUUGGUGAAUUAAGCGAAGGUACGGAAAGAGAGGGAUUCGAACCCUCGGUAAACAAAAGCCUACAUAGCAGUUCCAAAAGAAGACUUCCAUCUCCAAGUUUAAAUCAGACGUAGCUCCCUUCUUUUUUUUUUGGGGUGUAAAGCAGUGUCAAACCAAAAUACCCAACAAGCAUUAGCUCUCCCUGAAAAGGAGGUGAUCCAGCCG
rnacentral:lncRNA from 1 species